UAAACUUCUUCUCACCCGAACCUUUUCUCCUUUGCUUCUCGCGUGCGACGGCGCCGUUUCUGCCGAGCGAAGGAAUACGAAGCCCUAGCUUCGUCUCCGGCGGCUGGCGAAGGCCUUUUUCCGGUGAAUCGUGCGGAUCUGAGCUCCUCUCGUCGAAGAGAACGCGUGAGCACGGAAGAGAAGCCGAAGUCUUCAUCUCCCCAAAGCCCUAGAGCCUUCCUCUUCGGCUGUAAGUCCAAGAACAAGAGACUGCAUUUCCUCUUACUGAAGAUAAAAGAAAGGAAAAGAUCUAACAAGGAAGGUGACAAGGUGGCGCGAAUGGUGUGUGAUGUCAGGACUAUGGAAGUCUUAGGACUAGAAAAGAGUUCUUUUAGUUUUCUUUCUUUAUUACUAAGUUCUCCAUGUUUUAGUGGACUGUAAACGUUUGAGAUUGUACUUAUAGUUCAUGUCAUUUGAGUUCAUCUUUGUUUUA